UACGUAGGGCGCAAGCGUUAUCCGGAAUUAUUGGGCGUAAAGAGCUCGUAGGCGGUUUGUCGCGUCUGCCGUGAAAGUCCGGGGCUCAACUCCGGAUCUGCGGUGGGUACGGGCAGACUAGAGUGAUGUAGGGGAGACUGGAAUUCCUGGUGUAGCGGUGAAAUGCGUAGAUAUCAGGAGGAACACCGGUGGCGAAGGCGGCUAUCUGGACAGAGUCUGACGCUGAGACGCGAAAGCCAGGGGAGCAAACGGG
rnacentral:rRNA from 1 species